CGACAGGGCUGUACAUGGAGCAGAAACCUCUGUCAAAACGAAUCUGAUAUGCAAUAUUUUACUCAAAUGUGUGUUUUUUAAGGAAGAAGACGCUGUGGCAUCUGAUACAUCUGUGAGUCAGCAUAAUAUUCCACCAACUCCCAGUCAACAAAUACAACCUGAUGAUGCAACAACUUUGUCAAGUAAUGAUGGAAGUGAUAAACAGUUUAUUUUACCCAGUAAGAGAGUUAAAAGGAGUAAACCCGUGUCACCCUAUUCUAAACGUGAAGAAGAAGCAUAUGCUGUAUUACAGCAAGCAAUGAAGAGGGAUGAAUGUACAACAUAUGGUGAACAUGUCAGUAAUGAACUGCGGGAUCUACAGCCUACAGCAAGGACCCUUGUAAAACAUCUUAUCAACAACAUACUGUUUGAAGCAGCUAUGGGAAAGUACAAUAAUGUUGGGUUUUCCACUUCAUAUCAUGGGAAUAUGGUGACUGCUUCCACGAGUACAAGCAGUUACUUAUCUCGUCCUACUUCUAUUGACACACUGUCUUCCAGAGCUACAAGUGACAGCGAAGAACAACCAAUUGUUUCUGAGUUUACAGUACUUUCAGAAUUUUUGAAACUUUCAUAAAUAAAUCAAUGUUCACUAAGUGA